AGCGAACGCUGGCGGCAGGCUUAACACAUGCAAGUCGAGCGGGCGUAGCAAUACGUCAGCGGCAGACGGGUGAGUAACACGUGGGAACGUACCUUUUGGUUCGGAACAACUGAGGGAAACUUCAGCUAAUACCGGAUAAGCCCUAACGGGGAAAGAUUUAUCGCCGAAAGAUCGGCCCGCGUAUGAUUAGCUAGUUGGUGAGGUAAUGGCUCACCAAGGCGACGAUCAGUAGCUGGUCUGAGAGGAUGAUCAGCCACACUGGGGCUGAGACACGGCCCAGACUCCUACGGGAGGCAGCAGUGGGGAAUAUUGGGCAAUGGGGGCAACCCUGAUCCAGCCAUGCCGCGUGAGUGAUGAAGGCCCUAGGGUUGUAAAGCUCUUUUGUGCGGGAAGAUAAUGACGGUACCGCAAGAAUAAGCCCCGGCUAACUUCGUGCCAGCCGCCGCCGUAA
rnacentral:rRNA from 1 species